rnacentral:rRNA from 1 species
UGGGGAAUCUUGCGCAAUGGGCGAAAGCCUGACGCAGCAACGCCGCGUGCGGGAUGAAGGCUCUCGGGUCGUAAACCGCUUUCAGUAGGGACGAAAAUGACGGUACCUACAGAAGAAGCCCCGGCCAACUACGUGCCAGCAGCCGCGGUAACACGUAGGGGGCGAGCGUUGUCCGGAUUUAUUGGGCGUAAAGAGCUCGUAGGCGGCUCGGUAAGUCGGGUGUGAAAACUCUGGGCUCAACCCAGAGACGCCACCCGAUACUGCUGUGGCUUGAGUCCGGUAGGGGAGCGUGGAAUUCCUGGUGUAGCGGUGAAAUGCGCAGAUAUCAGGAGGAACACCAGCGGCGAAGGCGGCGCUCUGGGCCGGAACUGACGCUGAGGAGCGAAAGCGUGGGUAGCAAACAGGAUUAGAUACCCCCGUAGUCC